AGAGUUUGAUCAUGGCUCAGAUUGAACGCUGGCGGCAGGCCUAACACAUGCAAGUCGAGCGGUAGAGAGAAGCUUGCUUCUCUUGAGAGCGGCGGACGGGUGAGUAAUGCCUAGGAAUCUGCCUGGUAGUGGGGGAUAACGUUCGGAAACGGACGCUAAUACCGCAUACGUCCUACGGGAGAAAGCAGGGGACCUUCGGGCCUUGCGCUAUCAGAUGAGCCUAGGUCGGAUUAGCUAGUUGGUGGGGUAAUGGCUCACCAAGGCGACGAUCCGUAACUGGUCUGAGAGGAUGAUCAGUCACACUGGAACUGAGACACGGUCCAGACUCCUACGGGAGGCAGCAGUGGGGAAUAUUGGACAAUGGGCGAAAGCCUGAUCCAGCCAUGCCGCGUGUGUGAAGAAGGUCUUCGGAUUGUAAAGCACUUUAAGUUGGGAGGAAGGGUUGUAGAUUAAUACUCUGCAAUUUUGACGUUACCGACAGAAUAAGCACCGGCUAACUCUGUGCCAGCAGCCGCGGUAAUACAG
rnacentral:rRNA from 1 species